CAGAACGAACGCUGGCGGCAUGACCUAACACAUGCAAGUCGAGCGCCCGUAGCAAGUACGGGAGCGGCGCACGGGUGAGUAACGCGUGGGAACCUGCCAGAGGUCUGGGACAACCGCGGGAACUGCGGCUGAUACCGGAUGAUUCCUGAGGGACAAAGUACCUUUAUCGCCUUUGGAGGGGCCCGCGUCGGAUUAGGUAGUUGGUGGGGUAACGGCUCACCAAGCCUAUGAUCCGUAACUGGUCUGAGAGGAUGACCAGUCACACUGGGACUGAGACACGGCCCAGACUCCUACGGGAGGCAGCAGUGGGGAGUAUUGGACAAUGGGGGCAACCCUGAUCCAGCAAUGCCGCGUGGGUGAUGAAGGCCUUCGGGUUGUAAAGCCCUUUCGGCGGGGACGAUGAUGACGGUACCCGCAGAAGAAGCCCCGGCUAACUUCGUG
rnacentral:rRNA from 1 species